GAUGAACGCUGGCGGCGUGCCUAAUACAUGCAAGUCGAGCGAACAGACGAGGAGUUUGCUCCUCUGACGUUAGCGGCGGACGGGAGAGUAACAUGUGGAUAACCUACCUAUAAGACUGGGAUAACUUCGGGAAACCGGAGCUAAUACCGGAUAAUAUAUUGAACCGCAUGGUUCAAUAGUGAAAGACGGUUUUGCUGUCACUUAUAGAUGGAUCCGCGCCGCAUUAGCUAGUUGGUAAGGUAACGGCUUACCAAGGCAACGAUGCGUAGCCGACCUGAGAGGGUGGUCGGCCACACUGGAACUGAGACACGGUCCAGACUCCUACGGGAGGCAGCAGUAGGGAAUCUUCCGCAAUGGGCGAGAGCUUGACGGAGCAACGCCGCGUGAGUGAUGAAGGUCUUCGGAUCGUAAAACUCUGUUAUUAGGGAAGAACAAAUGUGUAAGUAACUAUGCACGUCUUGACGGUACCUAAACAAAAAGCCACGGCUAACUACGUG
rnacentral:rRNA from 1 species